rnacentral:rRNA from 1 species
UACGGAGGGUGCAAGCGUUGUCCGGAUUUAUUGGGUUUAAAGGGUGAGUAGGCGGAAUUAUAAGUCAUGGGUUAAAGGUCUGGGCUCAACCGAGACAAGUCCUGUGAAACUGUAGUUCUUGAGUACAACUGAGGUGGUUGGAAUGUUCAGUGUAGCGGUGAAAUGCAUAGAUAUUGGACAGAACACCGAUUGCGAAGGCAGAUCACUAAUAAUCAACUGACACUGAUGGACGAAAGCGUGGGUAGCGAACAGG